UCCCAGCUGUAAUCACGCUCAUCACUUGCAUUAUUAACAGAUGCAUCUGAAUUUCUGUCAGAGUCAUCAAUAGCAAGGCUCUUCUUAGCAAUGGAGAGGCUAGAUUGAAGUGAUCUCAUUUGUUUCAGCCACAAGUCUUCCAUGGAUUUCAUCUUCAACUCAUAUUCAGACCAUCUGUUCUCAUAUUGUUGGAUACGUUGGUUAAGGAUGUCAUUUUCCUCAUCUUUCUCUCUCAGAGCAGCUUCAGCCUUAAGUACCCGGCGCUGCAAUUC
rnacentral:lncRNA from 1 species